CGGCUCAACCGUCGACGCGCUUCGGAAACUGGGGGACUUGAGGGCAGGAGAGGCGAGCGGAAUUCCCGGUGUAGCGGUGAAAUGCGUAGAGAUCGGGAAGAACACCAGUGGCGAAGGCGGCUCGCUGGACUGGCCCUGACGCUGACGCGCGAAAGCGUGGGGAGCGAACGGGAUUAGAUACCCCGGUAGUCCACGCCGUAAACGAUGGGCACUAGGUGUGGGAGGUAUCGACCCCUCCCGUGCCGGAGUUAACACACUAAGUGCCCCGCCUGGGGAGUACGGCCGCAAGGUUGAAACUCAAAGGAAUUGACGGGGGCCCGCACAAGCAGUGGAGCAUGUGGUUUAAUUCGACGCAACGCGAAGAACCUUACCCGGGCUUGACAUCCCCGGAACACCCGAGAGAUCGGGUGGCUCUACGGAGCCGGGAGACAGGUGCUGCAUGGUUGUCGUCAGCUCGUGUCGUGAGAUGUUGGGUUAAGUCCCGCAACGAGCGCAACCCUUGUCCCGUGUUACCAGCGUAAAGGCGGGGACUCACGGGAGACUGCCGGUGACAAACCGGAGGAAGGUGGGGAUGACGUCAAAUCAUCAUGGCCCUUAUGUCCGGGGCUACACACGUGCUACAAUGGCCGGCACAGCGGGAUGCGAAGGGGCGACCCGGAGCGAAUCCCUGAAAGCCGGUCCCAGUUCGGAUCGCAGGCUGAAACCCGCCUGCGUGAAGCCGGA
rnacentral:rRNA from 1 species